rnacentral:pre_miRNA from 1 species
AGGGUUGAGUGCAGCCAAGGAUGACUUGCCGGCCGAGCAGCAGCAACAAAGCAGCUUGAGCUAGCACAUGGCUUGUUCUAUCGAGCAGCCCGGCAGGUUGUCCUUGGCUACACUUGGUUCUCU